ACAGGCAAAUCUGGAGAGCGCCGCAUAAUGCGGCCACCGAAGGGGCAGGCAACGUGAGUUGUAAUCUCUCAGGUACCAAGGACAGAUGGGGCGCA
rfam:Gallionellales bacterium RBG_16_57_15 RBG_16_scaffold_60986, whole genome shotgun sequence.